CAGAAUUUUCCAGAGCCAGUUAGGGAAAGUGGGUGACCGGUGUAGGUAGAAAACCAAUUUUUCUUGAAGGCUCCAGAACAAAAGCAGUCAGGGACGUGGUUACCCAAUGAGGAAAGGGGAGGAGAAAGUAUGGGGGUGCAUAAAGUUGUUGGGUUUAUUUUUAAAAGCUGAAACACUCAGCUCUGCUCUGUCACCUCUGCCUCUUCCCCUUCGGUUAAAUGGAGUUAACCUAACUUCUAAGACCUACCACUUCAGUCCCUGAAGGGUGUUUCAGGCAGAAAUCUGGUGAGCAAUUCCUUGUCACAAGAGACCCAGAGGGGAGAGUGCAAGGGUGUGAAAACUUCCCACUGGAAAACACAAAAGUAACUCAAGGGCAAUUGUGGAUCUGUUGUGUGGAUGAUCCAGGGGUUGGGCAGCCAAGAGGAAGCGUGUGAGCCGUGAACACCAAAGCGUAAGUCCCGUUCAAAACUGGGUCUAAAGGGAAAGUGAAGAAAUGAGCAACAUUUUAAAUCUCAAGAAAAGACAAAUGUGAGGACGCCAAAACAACUCCUUAAGAAAAGUGCUUUAAGAUACUUUUUUUAAAAAAAAAAAAAUCAAAACUCCAUUAUAGAGGUGUCUCUAUGACAUUUGCAAUCCACUUUGUUUGUAUAGAUAAUGCCUUGAAAACUAUAGAUCAGAAGAAGGUUAUUCUUGGGAGAGGUCAAAUAAGUGAAAAGAACAACCUUUAGGUAGGUGCAUGAAAAGUGAAUAUGGACCUCACUAAUAUCGUUAAAGUCUGAGGAAUGAUCAUUUGCAUGGCAAUAAUUUGAAAUUUUCAGAGAAUAAAUAAUCAAUUUGAAGAAAGCCUGGGUCUCAUGUGCCUGGCUUCACAUAGCUGUAUUUCUUUAUAUGUGGGAUAUGUGUAUGGUUUCUAGCAUUCCUUGAAGUUUCCUAGUCACUUAGGGAUGUUUCUGGAAAAGCAGCUGGGGGCAGAUGGAUGGCUGCCCUAUUAGAACAAUUCAUCAGACAGUAUUGAAAUAUUGAUAAGAAAACGGAAAUCAAAUUACAAGAGGGGAAAAGAGAGAGGAAGAGGGAGUGGGACCUAGAGAGCCAGUGGGAGGCAACGAAGAGGAAAGCCGUGGUGUAUACACUUACUCCAGCGGUUCCGGCAGCCCAGCACGAAGUGCCAGAGCUGAGGUCGCCUAUCUGCUUGUGCUGGAAAGAAAGGCGAAUUUUGACUGCCAGCGGUCAGCAAGGUUUAAUUCUGUACUGCUAAGGUGUGGGGAACUCUGAGCAGAGACAAUAAGCACAGACAACUGGAACACCCUGGAGUUGCAGGAGUUCGGCUCCUGCUGGCUUAGCAGGAAAGGGUGUCUAAGGUGAGUGUUUCCUUUGUGUCUGAUCCUCCCUGGGGAAUGGGUGAUGCAGGGUCUGGGCACCUCUCUGCCAUGGCUGCUUGCGCUGGUUGCAAUUGGGAAAUAAGGAGUUUUCUGGAGUUGCUUUUUUCUUUCUCUUUUCUCAUUUUGUCAUCUUUUUACCCCCUUUCAUAUCCCACUGGGUCUUGCAAAGAAAAUGGGGAGACUCUGAGAAAGGGCCAAGGAGUGUAGAAGCAGUGAAGGGAAUCUAUGAGCUGGAGAAACGGACUUUGUUCCUGAACUCGUGCGUGUCUGCUGUGGCUUCAGGAGCCAAAAAAAAAAAAAAAAAAAAGAAAAGAAAAAGGCUGGAAUUUGUUAGCAGGGAGAAAACUGCUUUAUCAGAAACACAUUGGCUGCCAGAGAAGCUGUGUGCUGCCACAUUAAAGAUGGCUAAAAAGAAGGAAGAAAUGAGAGCGAGCCAUCAGACUGGGCUAAGGCAGGGAUAGAUCCACUCAUACUGAGGCACCUGGCACCCUAGGGUAUUUUUUUUUUCUCUCUCCAGUCCAAAUAUUCAGACUAAGACACCUCCUUUGCUACUAAAAAUGGGGACCGGAUAUUCCUUGUCAUUGUCUCUACCCACAAACCUGUUUUAUUUCAGAAGAAGGAGGGCUCUUUCCUGGGAAAGGGCCUCCACAAACCUCUGAACCUUGAGCCAGUCUUCCUUCAUAAUCAACCUAUCCAUCGAAAGGGAAGAGUGCGGCAGUUAGCCUGAACCCUGGGAGGGCACAAGCAUUGGCAGCUCUGUAAUUAUCUGUUCCCCAGGGCCUCAGGCUGCAUGGAAGGUGAAACUUAUCACCCCCCUGGCUACUUUCUCUCCAGUCAGGACAAAUCUCAAUGGUCCCAGGUGCAAAAAUACACAAGUUCUGGGAAAGGCUGGUUUCUCCGAUUGCAGAGGGAAUUAUAAGAGAUCCAGAGAUGUGAGCUUACUCUCAGUUCUCACCAUCCUCUAUCCAGAAGCCUUUCUGCAGACGCGCAGGGAAUUCCCUGGGACCCUCCCUGGCUGGAUCAGAUGAACCUGAGCCUUCCAACUCCCAAAGUUUUCUGCUUGCAUUAGCUUGAUCACUUGCUCCACUCUCUGACUAAAUUUUCUCUCACCCAGGUUGGUUCUCGAGCCUUCUGGACCCUUUCUCACUAACGCAGGAUGUUUCAGACAGUCCCUGACACAUCGUCUUACGUCAAGGUAAGACAUGACAGCAUCUUUAAACAGGUAAUGAGCCCCCCAACUCUCCUCCACCCCUCACCAUAGGCCUAUGGUCCAUUCAGCCUUUUUCCAGGAAAGGGGAAAAGAGGAAAACCCUUGGGACUCAGGGUUUAAGGAUAAGACUUUGCAAUUCCUGUUUAGGAGACUGGGAAGCAGGGGAGCCUAGUGAAGACUGAGCUGGAAGAACUGGUCGCCCGCCCAUGUCAGGUCCCAAAGGCUGGUGUUCUCUGCUCACUGCAGGCUCCGUGCAUUAAGGAUGUGUACAUGUUUGCAUGGGAGAGCAAGUAUGCAGAUGUGGGAGUAUAUGUGUUAGUGCGUGUGAGGUGGGCGGGUGUGCAAGUGGGCGGGUGCAAAGCAUUUCUCCCAUGGUUUGGACAACAGCUCAGCCCGGAAGCCCACUUUCCUCUGCCCGCUCCCACCCUGAAAGCGCUGAUUGCUAUAUUUGACAGCACAUCGAAGGAUUUUUUUUUCUAACUUUCCACAACAGUUCCCAAGAAUGUAAACAAACCAAAGCUGGGACAUCUGGGUUACACGUUUAAUGAAAACCCCCUGACUGAGCUGGGAGGAGAGUGCGCACCGGGCGGCCCUGCCCAGAGUAGGGAUAGUGGCAAGGUCUUUAGGGCUGCAAGUUCCCCACCCCGCCUGGACACGACCUUACACCUUCCGGGUAGGACCCCCAGAGCCCCGAGUACCUGAGCUUGCCUUAGAGCAGAGGAAGAAAGACUCACUCAGGUGCUGCAAACGUAUGCAGAUCUCCUUCAGCUCCUUGCCCCGCCCUCCAUCUUGAAGCCUCGCCCCCUAGUGCCCCACCACCACCGGUGCCACUCGGUUGAGCUCCCUCCAGAGUCCGCUAAAGCUACCGCGGUGUCUGGGCUUGUUCGCUUGCACCUGAUAAGUGUGCGGACUCUUAAGGUCUUGUCCAGGGGGCGCCAAUUAUGUGUCGACCCUCCUUAGAUCUCUCUACAGGGAAACAGGUCAGGUAGAAAUAAGCGAACAUCUUUGCGCUCCCCACCUGAGAUCUGAAGGAGUCCACGGAAAGCCGGAUCCUGGAGGCUUGGCCGGGAAAGAAUGUUUAAUAAACGAUGAGAGAGAGAGAGAGAGAGAGAGAGAGAGAGAGAGAGAGAGAGAGAGAGAGAGAGAGAGAUCCUUCCAUCAAUGAUUAGCGAAUGGAGGGGUGGACGAAUGGCUCCUAGUAGGUGCUUGAGCACAAUCUUCAGAUUGGACUAAAACACACAAAGUUCACUGUCUUAGGUUUUCCUAAGAGGUUCAGGAUGCUGCAGACCACUCCCAACUAGAACACAGCCCGAGGAGCUUUAGCUUCAAGCUCUUCUCUAGGACUGUAAAUGGCUCCUGGAUAUGGAGUUGCAACCUCCCUUCCACACGCACCCAGGAGCCAGAAUCUUAGGGAUGAGGAACACCAAAGGGGCAACCGGAAGUCGAGGAGCCAGACCCAGGCUAAGGGUCAGGGAGAAAGCAAACUGGUUAGGGAGAAUUGAGCAGACCAGCCUUGGGGGGUGGGGGCUGGCAGUCUGGGAGCUGUGGGCCGCCAGAAGAGCAGCUCGCCGCAGGAGCUCCUUUCAAGAGGGAAAAUGGAUUUUUCAGCAGCCACAAAGUUUGUAUUGUUGCACAAAGGGGUGCAUUGAUGACGCUAAAAGGUCUGCGUGGCUGGGACAAUCUUGGGUCUGUUCCCUGGUUCCCUCCACCAACCAUUUGCCAGAGGGGUACAAACAGACUCAGGCUGCCAAGCCCCUGCCAUUCCCAGUCCAGCACCCGGCUCUGGGGUUGUUGACAAACACAGCAGGCCUAGGCUCCUGGGCCCCAGGAGUCCAGAGCCAAGCUGAGCCCUGAGGGUCAAGGGUGCCCAUUCCACAGGGCAGCGAUCUAGAUGGUGACUUGAACCCCUUGGGGCCCACAGAGCACUCAAGAGUACAUACAGGGGAAGAGCUUAAGACAGGUAUAGAACUGGAAGGACCCAGGGAACAUGAGAGAGAGGAACUGAAGACCUUGACUCAGCAGUGAUACUAUUGAUCCCUAUUUCUCAGAUACCCUCAUCCCUGCCAGGCCAUAUUCUAAAUAUUGUAUUUGUACCAACUCACUUAUAAUGAGCCUAACAGUUGGUCUCCUAUUUUGCAGAUGAGAAGGUACUGAGAGGUUAAUGUGACAGAGCUUGUAAGGGGCAAAACCAUAGAGAUAAAUAAGGGUAAAGUUGUGCUGCCAAGCAAGUUCUAGAUAACUUAUUUCAUCUGUAGAGAAAGCCCUUCAAGACGGGUUCAAUUACAAACCCCUUGUAUAAAUAAGGACACUGAGGCCCAGAGAAGAAACAUGUUCAAGGCCACAGAGCUGUUAAGUACUGAGGUAGAAUUCAAAUUCAGGUAGCCCGAUCAUCCAACCAGAAGGUUCUUUCAUGGCACUCCUCUGUGUGACAGGAAGAGGGACCAGGAUACUUAGUGGGAUAACCCUGACCAGCACCUGCCACAGCGGCAGUAAGCAAAGCACUCCUUUCUUCAAGUCUGUGGAUCACAUGUCUAAGAGCGCCUCUCUUGUCCCUUGCCGGACUGGCAGGGUCCUACUCUUUCCUUCUUUGCUCAUCUCCUAGACUCCCUGCUCUCCCUCCUCCACCUAUCAGCCUGCCGAUUCGGCCAGAGUAGCAUUUGGGGGAGAUGCCCUCCUCUGCCCGCCCCCUAGUUGAAGGGGGGUUGUUAGCCCUCAUAAUUUCACAGCCCCAAGGCCAGCAGAUCCGAAGCUGCAUUUCAAGGAAACUGGUCUUGGAAUGAAUAGUGUUUGGGACGACUAACUGAGAGGAAGGGACUGAUGGGGAUUGGAGAAGCUGAACCACCUCCCCACCCACCCCAAAAUACACACACCGGUGUCCGCAUCGGGGCGUCACCACUGGGUGAGGGUCCUGACACCUGGCUGGUCUCCGCCUCUUGUCAGCCUGCGCUUUCUGGUCAAUCUCGGACUCCCCUGAGGUUUCUUCGUCGACGCCGCGUGGUCUGGGGGCCCAGCCCCGGAGCGUCUGGGGUCCGGGGCGCAGAGACCCUCCCUCCCCCUCCUGGGCCUGCCCACCCCGGGCCCUUCAGCCGCUGGGGCCUCCCACGUAGCAUUUUGAACCCGCUCGGCGCUAAGGCAAGAACGAGCGUGGGGAGCAGGCAGGGCGAGCAGAGGCUUUAAAUCUUCCUUCAAUCUGCGAGUAGAUGAAGUCUGAGAAACAAAUUCAAAGCAGGCGCGCCUGCAGAGCCUUCCUGCAGAAAUAUUCCCCGGCAUUCAAGCGCAUCCAGGGGCGGCUCGAGCUGCCUUGUUUGGCUAAGGUCAGACGAGACUCGAGUUCUCCAAUAAAAAUAAAUCUCAAAUUAAUUAUGGCCUCGAGCGAGAGGCCAGACACUUGAAGCUGCAGUUGUGCAGUCUGGAGUUUUGGCGCUCGCCUGCCACCCCUCCCCCCGCUCGCCAGCUUCUCCCUCCCUCCGCCUCCCGCUUUGCCAGCUUGGAUACCCGCUGCGGCUGCUCCGGACCAGCCGGGUUGGGGAAGACAGAGGACGAAGAAGGAAGGAUCCGCCCGAGACGCUCUGCCAGGCCUGGAAUCUUUCGGCGUUUCAAGUGACUGAGCUGUCCCCGAGUCCGGAGGCACCCCAGGGACCAGCUAUGGUUGUCACGUCCUCCCUCCCCCAACCCAGGCUGGAACCUAAGGAGCCCGGGAAGCCUGCGUCUGGAAAGUCUUGACCCGGUCAAAAGGGCUGACAUUGAGCGAGCCAAGACACGUUUCGCCCAGCCGUUCCCCUCCCGGGGGAAGCAGGACUUCCGCAUCUUUGAAAAUAUUGUCAAGUGCGAAUGGUGAGAGGCAAGUGGUCUCACCGACGUUUCAAUGAAAAUGAUCCAAAUCCAACUAUUUCCUAAAUAUUUGCCUACAUAUGCACCCUUUCUAUAGUCCUUAGAAAGAUGUGGUGGGCUUUUAUUUGGGGGGGGGGGGUCCUCCGGUUGGUAGCUUAAAAAAAAAAAUGCUUUGCCUGGCUUCUUUGGCUGUGAGCUUUCCCUGACUUGAAAGCCAGGAAUGGGUUGGUGGAAUGGGCACUGAUGGGACCCAUACCAGAUCCUGGUCACCAGCCCUGCCCAGUCUGGGAAAGAGUGAGGCCAAAUAGUCCCUGGUGAGCCAGGAAAGAGGGUGUGCACAAGUGUGUGGGCACUAGGCUUGUAGACAGGGGAUAGAGGGAGGAGGAGAGUGACGGGGAGAGGUUAGAGGAUGAGGAAAGAGAAGGGGAGGGAGAGGCCAGAGUAGCAGAAAGCCCCACCCCACCCCCAACACACAAGAUAGUUUUCAUUUGUAGCCUCACCGCAGGCUCUCUAUCAAUUUGUUUCAAUGCAAACAUUCAAAAUAUGCUCUUUGGCUGCUCGUGAAAACAAUGUGAGCUGCCAGGAUCAAACCAUCUUUCCAGAUGUCUGGUGGUAACCACAUUAAACAGGGCAGACUUGUUUACUGUUGUGUUUGGUUAGGGCUUUCCCCCCUUCAGGAUUUAAAAAAGAAGAGCAGCAUUGGAGUGGAGCAUGGAGCCCAGACUUACAUAAGUGGGGCAAACUUGUCCACCAGCACAUCAACAUAGGAGGGAAGGAAUCUGAUAUUCCCUUCGAAAUCUGCUCAGAAUUGGCUGGGGUCUUCUUUUUCAGAAAAGACCUUGUGAAUGGGCAGUAGCUCCUUAUGCAGGGGCUAGUAAACAGCAAAAGGCAGCUGCACUGGUGCCAAUUUGAGAAUCACAAAGGGGCAAUGAUGCCUAUGUCUAUGCAUAGGUUGAUGCCUCUGCCAGGCUCCCUUUCCCUGACUUCCAAAAUUGUGAAGUUGCUAUAACUUUGGUUUUAUAGGCAGAAGCAGAAAAUGCUGUUGUGUUCCGAAGCUCAGACAGAAGGCCAAUCUUCAUUUUAAUCUACUUUCAUAUUGAACACUUCCAACAGGAAAGGCAACUGGUACUAAAUGGGAUUGUGGGGUGUACUGUUGAGGUGAUAACUGAUCACUAUAGUGAAGAGGACUGUUAAUUGCCAAACCAACCAAAGUUGGAAAGAAAAACCUAGUGAUUGUGUUUGCCACAGAGUGCCUUUA
rnacentral:lncRNA from 1 species